UACGUAGGGUGCAAGCGUUGUCCGGAACUAUUGGGCGUAAAGAGCUCGUAGGCGGUUUGUCGCGUCUGCUGUGAAAACGCGAGGCUCAACCUCGCGCCUGCAGUGGGUACGGGCAGACUAGAGUGCGGUAGGGGAGAUUGGAAUUCCUGGUGUAGCGGUGGAAUGCGCAGAUAUCAGGAGGAACACCGAUGGCGAAGGCAGAUCUCUGGGCCGUAACUGACGCUGAGGAGCGAAAGCAUGGGGAGCGAACAGG
rnacentral:rRNA from 1 species